CAGAGAUCUAUCGGGCUUCAACCAAGAUUCGAGAAGGUGAGAGGUUCUUUGAAGGAAGCAACUUGUUGCUACAACUGUGGAUGAUGGAACGUUUACAUCCCGCCUCCAUGUUUGAGAAAGAUGUGAUUGACCGUUGUCUGAGAGAUCGAGUGAAGUGCAUCGAGCAUAGGAUGACGUUCGAUAAGUUUGCCUUACCACUCGGAGUUCAAGAUUGGGUUGAUUAUUUGGGGUCCUUAACUGAAGAAAAGAUUUUGUGGUCAUACUUAUGGAUUGAUUUGGACAUGAUCUUAACAGGAUCUCGCGUGCAAGACUUCUUAAUGCUGAUAGGACUUUGGUGUACUAGACCAUAUACCCCUGCUAGAGUGAUGCGUCAGUAAGGGAGACGACAAGAAGUCCCUUAUAUUCCCGAUUCUAAUAACGUUCAAUAAGUUCCGCCUUACCACUCGGAGUUCAAAAUUGGGUUGAUUAUUUGGGGUCUUUGACCGAAGAGAAGAUUUUGUGGUCAUACCUAUGGAUUGAUUUGGACGUGAUCUUAGCAGGAUAUCGCGUGCAAGACUUUUUGGUGCUGAUAGGACUUUGGUAUACUAGACAUUAUACCCCUACUAAAGUGAUGCGCCAGUUAGGGAGGCAAGAAGAAGUCCCUUACAUUCCUGAUUCUCGUAAAUUCAUUAGGGAAUUUGACGCUAUGCCGCAUAGGGAGGUCAACAUCCAGACUUAUUGGAGUUAUGCAAUGAAGAUGGGUAGGGAUGCUUUAGCAACUGACCCACAUUCACCCGAGCAUACCCAUGAGUACUUCAUAUGGCUACAGUCUACUCGGUGGGGGGGUUAGCAGGACAUUGCCCCGGCGUGUUAGAGAAGUAUUUGAUGAGGAUGCCACCUCACGGAUAUUUCUUAGACAGUUGAUGGAUGGAUUUACCCAGGCAGAGGAGGCCCAUGCAGUAGAAAGGGUUGGGGUUUGAACUACACUUCAGUCACUGAGAUCACAGUUGGCAGGGUUGGUAGAGAACAUGGGGCAACACCGUGAGUACCUUACUAGAGCCAGCCUUCCAGAUGC
rnacentral:lncRNA from 1 species